UGGGGAAUAUUGCACAAUGGGGGAAACCCUGAUGCAGCGACGCCGCGUGAGCGAAGAAGGUUUUCGAAUCGUAAAGCCCUGUCCUAUGAGAAGAUAAUGACGGUAUCAUAGGAGGAAGCCCCGGCUAAAUACGUGCCAGCAGCCGCGGUAAUACGUAUGGGGCGAGCGUUGUCCGGAAUUAUUGGGCGUAAAGGGUACGUAGGCGGUCUAUUAAGUCAGGUGUGAAAGCGUGAGGCUUAACCUCAUUAAGCACUUGAAACUGAUAGACUUGAGUGAAGGAGAGGAAAGUGGAAUUCCUGGUGUAGCGGUGAAAUGCGUAGAUAUUAGGGGGAAUACCGGUGGCGAAGGCGACUUUCUGGACUUUUACUGACGCUCAGGUACGAAAGCGUGGGGGGCAAACAGG
rnacentral:rRNA from 1 species